AGAGAACUCUUAUUCUCUUUAAUGAGUGAUUUAUAUCCCAAGUCUAAAUUUUGUGAAUUGAGUAAAUAUAGAGAAAACAAAGCAAGCAAAUUCUUAUAGCCAUUUAGUCACUCUUAGAACAUGGAAGAGAGUCUGUACACAGCAACUUUAUUCAGACAACUGGCCAUUUACUGAAUGGCCACUAGAAAUUCUACUGAAAAUGUUAUUAAAUUUUAAAUUAAAUUUGGUUUUAUUGUUAUUUUAAAUGCAGUUUUCCACAAAGCAUGUCCUGAGGCCUUUGCCAUUCAAUUGUGAUAUAUUUUCCUGAUCAGUAAUCCCAGUCUAUAUAUAUUAUACUCCUACUUCAUCUUAGGGACAGCCAGAGUGAUUGCUGACUAAAUAAUUAACAAAGGGAACACCAUCUCUGUAUGUCUCUGUAGUUGAUAGGUUAGCAAGAAAACAAAACUAACUUUCAUAAUCUCUUUCCCUAUAGAUACCUGGCACUUUCCAGGAGCAAAAUAGGAAGAAAAUGUAAUUGCUAAAAUCUCACACACUCAUUACUAGACUAAUAAUACUUUUUCUCUCAAUAUUGCCCCAUAAAGGCAUCUAUAGAAGUGAAGGUGUAGAGCUGCUGUUUCCUGUUAUAAUAAGAAGGAGAAAUGCAGGCUUGUAUUUCAAGUAUUUCAACCCCAUCAAGCAAUAGUGUGAGUAUGUAGAAUAUUAGAGUAUUAUGUAAUAAAGUAGAAUAAGAUAAUAACAUAAUACAGCAUUAUUAGACACAGUGUGCCCAAACCAUUUCCAGCCACAAGAAGAAUAAGGGUGAGGGCAGGGGCUUGGUCUGGCACCAGUGAAGGUGAGGGGUCCUGAGUGAGCUGCCUUCCUUCUGUGCUCUCCAGAGGAACAACACUUCCUAAUUUCCAGCUCUGCUCCCAAAUUUGUGUGUGUUCAUGUCUUUCCUCUUGCUUCCUCCUGCUCCAAUCCAACCAUGGGUCACAGAGGGAAGUUAAGAAAGGAAGGUACCUGGGUAAGUUUUGUCAGGUAAGUUAAGUCUGCUAGAGAUACUAGAUACUAGAGUACUAGAUACUAGAUACUAGUACUAGAGUAUCAGACUAUUUAAAAAAUAAAAACCAGGUUGAACUUUCACUGAGAAGUUGGGCUGACUUGAGCUAGGAACAAACUGCUUUACUUUGGUUUUCUGAACCUGAACUUUUUACAGAAGAUGAGUGUCAUUCAAUCUGUGAUGUUUUCCAAAGCCUUGCAUGGAACUCUGCUCUCAGGUUUGAGAAAGAACUGUUGAACUCAAACUGUGUUAAUGUAAGUUACAUCACUGAACUGUAGCCUUUCUGGUAUUAAUAGGGGUACCAGAAGCUGUGUGAGUCAUGUAAAAAAGGCUUCCAUUCUUAUACAAGGUCAUAAUUUCUCUUUUUCCCCCUCCAGAUUUCUCCCAUAUGAGGAGGUAGAGGCUGGUAUUAGCAUUGGAAGGAAGUUGGCUGACAUUCUGAUCCCACGGAAAUAAAUAUGACGGCUGGAAACAAAAUUCAUCUGUGUGCAGAGAGAUCUGGAAAACAAAAUCUAUACCAAAUUCAAGGAAUGAAUAAACUAUAUCUGAGAAAGGGGCUGGAGAAAGGUCUGAAGGAGAGAGAAGCUGCUACAGAUAUGAUCAGCUGAAGCUAAUCUUGUCUCCAAGGAGUGAGUUGCUUGAUCAGUGCUCUAAGUGCUCGGUUAUUGAUGCUGAAAGAGGCACCACUCCUGGAAACCCAGCAGGUGCUGCAGCCCUUCACUGAGCCAGGGCCUCGAGGUACACCUUUCUGAAACCCUCUGGAGGGUGUGGGUUUAAUUUUUGGGGGUUCAGUUGGCUUUGGUACGUCUGAUUUUGCUUUAUUUUGUUGCUUUGGUUUUGUUUUGUUUUUUGUUAAAUUCCCCCCCCCUCCAAAACAAGAUAUUCCUCCUAUAAGUCUGUAGGUGGAAAGUGGAAGUCUUUUCUCUUUUCAAAACAUCUGUAAUUCAGAUUAAUAUUUGCAGUUGGAAUUUUCCAGUUAUUUAACAUCAAACAAUGAAGAGAUGGCAAGAAAAGCUACCAAUUAUAAAUUAUAGCACCCCAAUAGCAAAACCACUGCAAUAUUGCAAACACAGUAAUUAAUUUAUUUAAUUUCACUUUAACAAACCCCAGGAUUUUCAUUUUGAAAAUAACCUUGUAAGAAAAUGAAUGCAAACCUCUCAUAAAAUUCCAAAGAUCAGCAGAGAAGAGGAAUAUGGAGAGAAAGAAGAACUGAACAGACAGCAUGGUUUGUCUUGUUUGGUCUGCCCAACAUCUUCAGCCCUUACUCCUUUUUGGUUUCCACUAACUUUGCCCAAUUCUCCCUUUCUCUGCAGCCUGAAUGUGUUUUACCUUUCUCAACAGAUGAUUUCCACAGGCUGUGGUUUAAACCCCAUGGCUGGCUGGCAGUGUCACUCCCUUGUCUCCCAGAACUACAACUAUUGAUUUAUCCACUACUGAAAGUCUGUAAAAAACAAACCCACUUUAUUCAAACACUCUGAAAAAAAAAUAGAUCUGAAUAGACCCAUAUAUUGAGGAAUUUGAGGAAAGAGUGGAAGGAGAUGAUCAGACAUGCCAGCUUCUUUGGCAGUUAAUAAAUUUGGUUGAUUCCAGCUGCUGUAGAUGGUGCUGCAAUAGAACCAUAUUUUGACUGAGAGUUUCUCCCUCCUGCAGCAAUCCAUCUGCAGUCAAUAGAUUACCUGCACCCCUGGGAUUCACUGCUCAAUACACAUCUGCAGGGAGGGUUUUCUAUCUCAGCUAACUGGGGAUAAAUUCCUGCUGUCCACAUCCGCCUCUGCACCCUAGGAGCUUUAUUCAGAGCUCCUAGGCCUGGCUAUUUGAGAGCUCUAUUUAUGGCACACUGACACCAGUCCUGUACCCCCCAGAAAGACCUCACAUGUACUUGGCUUAUAUCACUUGGAGAUAAGCAACUAAUCCAGAGAAAAUAAAGUGCCUUCAAAUAUAUUCAGGUGAUUUUUCAACCUGUAAAAACAAGUGGGAUGUAUCCAGUCUUCAAAACUAUUCAUAUUUAGAAACUUCCCCCUCUCCCCAGAGGGAUGAAGCAGUUCAUGCUAUACAUUCUGCAUUCUCAGACCAACAUUUGGAUUAAAAAUUACUAAUGGUCACCUUUCACUUGAUACAAUUUUACAUUAUUUUAUGGGAAACAAGUGAUAUGUUAUAAUAAAGAAAACCUGAAUUUACAAAUAUUGUGGGCCAGAUCCUUCUUUGCUGGUACAUUUAUCUUCCUCUAAGACUUUGGUAAGGCACUUCCUAUCUUGUUUACCUUGUUACCUUUCCAUCACAGUUUUGCACAGACUUGUCUGAUGGACUAAGGAUAUUUGAUUAAAUUUCUCCAUUAAGUAAAUUUUGCUUGAAAAAAUAUUAACUAUGUGAGUUUUCUUCCUGGUCCUGACCACAUCUCCUCUGUUCCUACAUGCAUGGAUCAUGACUGGUUACUGAUUUCCAGAACCAGUGUGGUGCUGCAUCCUCCCAAAUGAUAAGUGACAUACCUUAGAUGUGGUUCUUUAACAGUUUUCUGGGGCUAUAAAUGGCAAUGCAGAAGCCCCAAUAAGUAAUUUUGGGCAUUCAAGCCUAUACUCUACCCAAAAUAGUUUAGGAAAACUUGUGAAAGAGAUGAUUGUUCCCCAUGUGCAAAGACAACUCCUACUUAAAAAUCAGUUAGUUUGGCUGCUGUCACUCUCCUGGGCCACCCAAAGCUGUGCUCAGUUUGCACCGAUGGCCUCCACUCCCAAAAUCUUUAUUCCACACCAGUUUUGGAGCUCCAAAAGGAAUGACAAGACUCAGGCUGCCAGAGAUCUCCUGGUGGUAAUUAGUCAGACUAAAAGAACAAAUUCUUGGUUCCUGAUGCCCAGCCCAAGGCCACCCUCCCUUCCCCAGACUCGGAGAUACACUCUGCCAGAAGGGGCAUUUCUGAGUGUUUUGCACAGAGUAGAGCACUUGCUUCCCUGACUGCCUCUGAUUUCUCCUUCUGUCCCUCCCUUCCCUGUGCUGCAAGGCAGAGAAAAGCAUCUGCCUCUAGGAUAGCUCAAGACCUAACAGUAGCCCCAUUCUUGCCUUUCUGGCAAGGAAGGAGAGUUAGGUGCUUCAACAACAUGUCAUGCAUGGGGAGUGGGAGGGGGAAGGGAUGAAAGAAGGCAGCAAUUUCUGACAAUAUGUGCCAUUUGGGUGCCUGUCUCACUCUAAUUUCAAGAUAGAAUAAUAAAAAUUUACCACUAACACAAUUUAUUAUCUGUUUGCAUUUCAGGACCUUAAAAAUAGAGCAGACAAAUCAUAAUACAUGAUGUCCCCAGUGAUUUCUAUUCCCUAAUUGCACAGAUAACUUGCUUGAUUAGUGCUGUGCUUUGUACAACAGGACUAGCUGGAACACAGUGAGUCUAUUUACUUCAGAAGUGCUCUGGAUAUGAUUAGCAGGAGUGCAUAAAUGUACAUUAGUGCAUAUUAAUGCAGCAACUAAUCUACACUGUGGACAGAAACAAUACAUAUUGUAUUUUUCCACCCAGUAUGCUUCUAUUUGAAAAUUCCUUACACAACAAGUGCCUCUGAGGUACUUACUUUAAUUUUCCUGUUGCAAUUGUAAUUACCUUAGAUUGAUAUGUCUGUUUUUCUAAAUAAAUUGCUUUACUGGCUAAAAUAUGCCCUCUUUGUAAGCAGAUUAUAUCUAGUGCCACACAGUGCAGUUAACUUCUUUCUCAUUGGGAGAGGAGGGUUUGAACUCCUUGCUGCGAGGAGAUUUUUUAUUUUGUUUUUAAAUACAUCAAGGACAUUUUCUGUCUAGAAACAAAGCUGCCCUGUAAAUGAUGGGGCUGGUUCUGACAUCCAUCUUCUAACUCAAGACAUUUGCAUUUUUUGGGACUUCCACUGUGUUCUCUGCAGCAGUGAGAAGUAGGUUUUGUACACAAAAACUGGCACCAGAAGAAAGAGAUGGUUUACAACUCUGUUGUCAAAUCACACGUUUGUUGUGACCUUUUAUAUGGCAGACAUGUGGAUUACUCACCAUGACAAAUAUUUACCACGUUAACAUAGGAAAUGCAAUAAAUAAUAUUUCUGAUAUUCUGAUGGGAAAGUCAUUAAAUAGCAGAAAAUGGGGAGGAAGUUCAGUUCUGUCUGUGGUGCUUUCAGGCUCCUGCACAGCACUACAGCUUAACUACAACCUACAGGACAGCCACCAACA